rnacentral:tRNA from 1 species
GGAUUGUAGCUCAGUGGUAGAGCACUUGCCUAGCAUGUGUGAAGCACUGGGUUCAAUCCUCAGCACCA